UUUUUUUAUGACAUGUUCAUAAUACAUUGAAUCUACAAUGAAAUAAUAGCUUGUGGGCUUUACAAGAAAAUGAAAACCCAUUAUGCAAUUGUGACAAACGAAAGCUAUAAGUAAAUAAGGUAAAGUAUGACCUAUCUGUUCAUGUUUAUUUGAUCAAUUCAAGGCCGUAUUCGUUUAUCUCCCAAAACAUUAAAGGAAAUCUAAAUAAAACAUAAUGGUCGAUGCAUACCCUUUGUCAAAAGUGUAGGAAUAUCUUACUUUAUCGUCAUAAAAGUAGGUGUGUAGGCUAGCUAACAAUUUGUUUUUCUAAAAAAAAACAGAUGCGGAAGAUCAAAAAGAUGUAUUAAAACUCUUUAACGAAAACAAACUGACAACAAUAGGGACAAAACAUGCUAAAAAGACCCAAAAAACCGAAUAACAGUCUGCAAAAUAAAACAUAGAAUACUAAGGCCUAUACAACACGAAACCAUCAAACACCAGGCGAGUAUACAUGUACUCCGCAAUGAAUGAUAAGAUCCGGCUCCACAUGUGUAUCGGUCGUUAAAGUUAUAAAAUCGAAAGUUUCCAUCCGAGUCUCGUCCACCAAUAAAAUUUUAUGCAUUAAUUUUAACAUAUAUGACGAGUAAUAAAGGAGUCGUAUCAUACACAUAAUAAAUCAAUAGCUAUAUGUUAUGUAGGAAAGUGCGCUUUCCUACUAUUGCAGCUUUGAUAUUUUUGUCCUAUGAUGCAGAACUAGGACAGG
rnacentral:lncRNA from 1 species